CAGUAGCCGCGGUAAUACGUAUGUCGCAAGCGUUAUCCGGAAUUAUUGGGCAUAAAGGGCAUCUAGGCGGUCAGACAAGUCUGGGGUGAAAACUUGCGGCUCAACCGCAAGCCUGCCCUGGAAACUGCUUGGCUAGAGUGCUGGAGAGGUGGACGGAACUGCACGAGUAGAGGUGAAAUUCGUAGAUAUGUGCAGGAAUGCCGAUGAUGAAGAUAGUUCACUGGACGGCAACUGACGCUGAAGUGCGAAAGCUAGGGGAGCGAACAGGAUUAGAUACCCCGGUAGUCCCUGUCUCUUAUAC
rnacentral:rRNA from 1 species